rnacentral:rRNA from 1 species
GACGAACGCUGGCGGCGCGCCUAACACAUGCAAGUCGAGCGAUGAAAUUUUAACCGAUCUCUUCGGAGAGAAGAUAAAAUGGAUUAGCGGCGGACGGGUGAGUAACACGUGAGAAACCUGCCUUUCACAAGGGGAUAGCCUCGGGAAACCGGGAUUAAUACCCUAUGACACAUUUCCUUCGCAUGGAAGAAAUGUUCAAACUCCGGUGGUGAAAGAUGGUCUCGCGCCUGAUUAGCUAGUUGGUGGGGUAACGGCCCACCAAGGCCAUGAUCAGUAACCGGGCUGAGAGGGGGAACGGUCACAUUGGAACUGAGACACGGUCCAAACUCCUACGGGAGGAAGCAGUGGGGAAUAUUGCACAAUGGAGGAAACUCUGAUGCAGCGACGCCGCGUGAGCGAUGAAGGCUUUCGAGUCGUAAAGCUCUGUCCUAUGGGAAGAUAAUGACGGUACCAGAGGAGGAAGCCCCGGCUAACUACGUG